UUGGUCCCCUCGCAAUGAUAAGCUGUGAACCCCGCCAGGCCCGGAAGGGAGCAACGGUAAUAGCUGACUCAUGUGCCGUGGUGUGGCUGGC
rnacentral:SRP_RNA from 1 species